UGGANAUGGGGGAACCCUGAUCCAGCCAUGCCGCGUGAGUGAUGAAGGCCCUAGGGUUGUAAAACUCUUUCGGCGGGGACGAUAAUGACGGUACCCGCAGAAGAAGCUCCGGCUAACUUCGUGCCAGCAGCCGCGGUAAUACGAAGGGGGCUAGCGUUGUUCGGAAUUACUGGGCGUAAAGCGCGCGCAGGCGGUUCUUCAAGUCAGAGGUGAAAGCCCAGGGCUCAACCCUGGAAUGGCCUUUGAGACUAGAGAACUAGGGUACGGGAGAGGUGAGUGGAAUUCCGAGUGUAGAGGUGAAAUUCGUAGAUAUUCGGAAGAACACCAGUGGCGAAGGCGGCUCACUGGCCCGUUACCGACGCUCAGGCGCGACAGCGUGGGGAGCAAACAGGAUUAGAUACCCUGGUAGUCCACGCCGUAAACGAUGGAUGCUAGCCGUUGGUAAGCAUGCUUAUCAGUGGCGCAGCUAACGCAUUAAGCGUCCCGCCUGGGGAGUACGGCCGCAAGGUUGAAACUCAAAAGAAUUGACGGA
rnacentral:rRNA from 1 species